ACACAAUGGAGUAUUACUCGGCAAUCAAAAAUAAUGAAAUCUUGCUAUUUGCAACUACGUGGAUGGAACUGGAGGGUAUUAUGCUAGGCGAAAUUAGUCAUAGAAAGACAAAUAUCAUAUGACUUCACUCAUAUGAGGACUUUAAGACACAAAACAGAUGAACAUAAGAGAAGGGAAGCAAAAAUAAUAU